rnacentral:rRNA from 1 species
GAUGAACACUGGCGGCGUGCUUAACACAUGCAAGUUGAACGAAGUGGCGGAUGGGCGAGUAACACGUGAGGAACCUGCCUUUCACCGGGGAAUAACACUGGGAAACCAGUGCUAAUACCGCAUAGUGAAAGAUGGCCUCGCGCCUGAUUAGCUAGUAGGUUAGGUAACGGCACACCUAGGUGAGUAUCAGUAGCGGGUUGGAAGGGUGAUCGGCCGCAUUGGGACGGAGACACGGCCCAGACUCCUACGGGAGGCAGCAGUGGGGAAUAUUGGGCAAGGGCGCAAGCCUGACCAAGCAACGACGCGUGAAGGAAGACGGUCUUCGGAUUGUAAACUUCUUUAGACAGGGACGCGGUACCUGUAGAAUAAGCCACGGCUAACUACGUGCCAGCCGCCGCGGUAAUAC